ACAAAGUCUGUCAUAAGACAACGAAACCGAUAUAACUAUUUUCCUGUGGACGUCAUGUCUCCAUUCUCUAUCUUGCUCUUUUUGGCGAUCACGGUUGCUGCUGUCACGAAUUUCCAAGUCGACGCUGCCCCAAAUGGAGAAAUAGGGUAUUUAGAUCCUGGAAAGAGUAUUGAAGGGUUCAAUUUUUUGGAUCAAGCAAUUCUCCGGCAUAAGCGACACUGGUGGCGCUGCCAAUACAAUUGUAUACCACAUUGGUGCUGUCCUGGAAAGCGUCGCUAGCAUGGCUGCCAAAAGAUAAAAAGAUUUCACUCCGAAACAGAAAAAUGUACAUUCCAAAUAAAUUUGUUCACCAAAUAAACAUUGACUUUCACCAUUUUACCUAUUCCUUAAUAGAUAAAAUGGUAUUCUGAAUAAAAGAAAUCUACUUGUAA